rnacentral:rRNA from 1 species
AUGAAUUGGACCUCCAUGCUCCUUUCCUCUGGUACUUCUUCAGUGUUGCUUAAUGGGGUGCCAGGAAAAUUCUUUCAUUGCAAUCAAGGGGUUAGACAAGGUGACCCUGUCUCUCCUUUGCUAUUUGUGUUGGCUGCUGACCUACUCCAAUCCACCCUCAAUGAAGCUAUGCAAAAUCAGCUGAUUCUUCCUCCUAUUGUUAGUCAAGCUUGCCCUGACUUCCCAGUGAUUCAGUUUGCUGAUGAUACCAUCUUAGUCCUGCCAGCUGAUAUGAGACAAAUUGAGCAAAUCAAAAAUCUCCUCCUUCAUUACUCUGCUUUCACAGGUCUGAGAGUGAAUUAUGAGAAAUCCUUCUUGGUUCCACUAAAUGUACCAAUCACACAGCUUCACUCUUUGCUUAAUGUUUUGGGCUGCCAGCAAGGUCAUUUUCCUUUCACCUAUUUAGGUCUCCCUCUUGGCACAACAAAACCAAAAAUUGAAGAUUUUAACCCAAUGAUGCAAAGAAUUGAAAGAAGGCUUUCUGGCUGCUCCACUAUGUUAUCUUAUGAUGACAGGCUUUUGCUUAUAAAAUCAGUUUUUGCAUGUCUGUCAAUUUUCUUCAUGAGCUGUCUAGCUCUCCCAGUUGGUGUGUUACAGCAAAUCAACAAGUACUUGAGAAAUUUCCUUUGGAGGAAAUUUGGUAUGGAGGAUAGAGGAACUGCACUUAUUGCUUGGUCCAAGGUUUGUAGGCCAAAAAAGCAAGGAGGACUUGGAAUACUUGAUAUCUCUAUUCACAACAAGGCACUACUAAUGAAAAAUCUGCUUAAAUUUCUCAAUAAGGAGCAUAUACCUUGGAUUAAUUUGAUCUGGGAGAAAUAUUACCACACUGAACUGCUAAGAAGGAAAGUUGAAGGCUCUUUCUGGUGGAAGUCUCAUAUUGCUCUCCUGGAGAGAUUCAAACAAAUCAGCAAAUGCUCCAUUGGGUCAGGACAAUCUAUUCUCUGUUGGUCAGAUACUUGGUUGGAAUAG